rnacentral:rRNA from 1 species
AUUGAACGCUGGCGGCAGGCCUAACACAUGCAAGUCGAACGAGUGGCGGACGGGUGAGUAAUGUCUGGGAAACUGCCUGAUGGAGGGGGAUAACUACUGGAAACGGUAGCUAAUACCGCAUACCAUCAGAUGUGCCCAGAUGGGAUUAGCUAGUAGGUGGGGUAAUGGCUCACCUAGGCGACGAUCCCUAGCUGGUCGGAGAGGAUGACCAGCCACACUGGAAAGUAGACACGUUCCAGACUCCUACGGGGGGAAGCAGUGGGGAAUAUUGCACCAUUGGCGCAAGCCUGAUGUAGCCAUGCCGCGUGUAUGAAGAAGGCCUUCGGGGUGUAAAGCACGUUAAGAGGGGAGGCGUUACUCGCAGAAGAAGCACCGGCUAACUCCGUGCCAGCAGCCGCGGUAAUUC